CAAAGUUUCAAAGAACAAGAACCCUCUGCUCUUAAUCCCCGUAGUCCUGGGCUGUGGCUGUCAGGUUCGAGUGCGCCUCCUCUGCAGUAAAUAAGAAGGAAUGAAGGUCCCUCAGAGGCAAGCAACAUUUGUUGAGCAGUUGUCUGGCACCUGCAUUAUCCCAUUAAAAUUCACAACCAGGGGCACCCACGAAUUGGGAGCUGGGUGCUCACGGACCCUCCCUGGGAAGCCAACUGUGUGCGCCUCAGUCUAGACACGCCCCUUUGGGGCGUCUACUCCG